UUAAAUGUCAGUGGAAAUUAUGG
rnacentral:piRNA from 1 species